UAAUACGAAGGGGGCAAGCGUUGUUCGGAAUUAUUGGGCGUAAAGCGUAUGUAGGUGGUCUUUCAAGUCAGACGUGUAAGCCCUCGGCUCAACCGAGGAAUUGCGUUUGAAACUGAUUGACUUGAGUGCAGGAGAGGAAAGCGGAAAUCCCAGUGUAGCGGUGAAAUGCGUUGAUAUUGGGAAGAACACAGGUGGCGAAGGCGGCUUUCUGGUCUGCUACUGACACUGAGAUACGAAAGCCAGGGGAGCAAAGGGGAUUAGAUACCCCCGUAGUCCUGGCUGUAAACGAUGGGCACUAGGUGCGGGAGGUAUUGAUCCCUUCUGUGCCGCAGCUAACGCAUUAAGUGCCCCGCCUGGGGAGUACGGUCGCGAGGCUG
rnacentral:rRNA from 1 species